GACGAACGCUGGCGGCGUGCUUAACACAUGCAAGUCGAACGAAGUGGCGAACGGGUGAGUAACGCGUAAUCAACCUGCCCUUCCGAGGGGGACAACAGUUGGAAACGACUGCUAAUACCGCAUAACGAAGGAGGGGAUUGCGUCUGAUUAGCUAGUUGGAGGGGUAACGGCCCACUAAGGCGAUGAACAGUAGCCGGUCUUAGAGGAAGAACGGCCACAUUGGAACUGAGACACGGCCCAGACUCCUACGGGAGGCAGCAGUAGGGAAUCUUCCGAAAUGGACGAAAGUCUGACGGAGCAACGCCGCGUGAGUGAUGACGGCCUUCGGGUUGUAAAGCUCUGUUAAUCGGGACGCGGUACCGGAAUAGAAAGCCACGGCUAACUACGUGCCAGCAGCCGCGGUAAUUC
rnacentral:rRNA from 1 species